UGAAUGGCUGGCCUUUGUUUACUGUCGGACUAUCAGUUUACGAGGCCAGAAUGAAGGCUUCGAUGAAAGACAACGUUCACAGCCUCUCAAACGUAGGUAAACUCCUCCCCUGGUCCAGCCCCUUACUCAGGUGAACCAUAUACCACCUGUGGCGACAUGGCUGCCUUUCUGUCUGGGUUGCCGGCUGGUUAUCACAUGCUCCUUGUACUGAGGUAGGUUAAAAAUCCUAAGAAUUAUUCCAUGCUUGUUUUUAAGUAAUUUUGCAUUUACUUAAAACUAACAACGUGUAAUUUUGUCCUGGAAUAUCUCCCUGUCUACCUCUCUGCCUCGGGUGAACUGGGGUUUGGUUUGACAAGGUUUGUUUUGUUCAAAGAUUGUUAAUUGCUGACACGAGGAAAUAUUUCAAAGGAUCAAUUUUAUCUCGUAUUUAGUGUCUGUUGUCCUGCUGGUCCUUUUGCUUGAGGCGUCUUUGGUAGCUGUCCCCUGUGUGUCAUUGUUAUAGUGAAGCCAGUUAAUGGGUAAGUCAGGCAACUUGAGGGUUGAUGCAUAUUUUAUGUAAUGCUUUAUUUUUUUGUAUUUCAGACCUUUUUGAGUUGCAGUUUUGCCUUUUAUUAAUUGUUUUGCCUGUGUUUUAAUGUAUUUGCAUUGUUGUACUUUUAACUGAACCAACUGGUUUAUUUGUUUUCUUUGUUUAAUACUUUUGUUAAUUCCCCUGUUGUGAGGUGGUUGCCGGCUGCUGGUGGAGGCUAGGAACUCUAGGUGGUUCCCUGCACUGUUUGUAGUGGUAAGCGCACCAGGACACAAUAGUUUGCACCUGUUUGCCAUGUUUGCUGUGUGAGUUCACGAGUGGUGGGUAAGUUGCACUCCUGGAACACACCCCUUGAUGUUAGGCUGCCCUCCCAUCUGCUGGCACCCCUCACUUCCCCAUCCCAUUUUGCUCAUUUUAAAUCACCUUGGACUGGAAGUGUCUUUUUAAGAUAAAAUAAACAAAUUAUAUUUUAAUAAACUUUAAUACAUCUCCCUAAACUGACUAAAUUACCUCCGUAACUAACCCCGUUCUCUUCACAGAUACUCCCAUUUUAAAUUAUCAAUAAAUUGAUGUUUCCUUUUGAA